UACGUAGGGUGCAAGCGUUAAUCGGAAUUACUGGGCGUAAAGCGUGCGCAGGCGGCAGAGCAAGUCGAGUGUGAAAGCCCCGGGCUUAACUUGGGAAUUGCGCUCGAAACUACUUUGCUGGAGUGUGGCAGAGGAAGGUGGAAUUCCACGUGUAGCGGUGAAAUGCGUAGAGAUGUGGAGGAACACCAAUGGCGAAGGCAGCCUUCUGGGCCAACACUGACGCUCAUGCACGAAAGCGUGGGGAGCAAACAGG
rnacentral:rRNA from 1 species